rnacentral:snoRNA from 1 species
UGAAGAUGAAGAACCAUAGCACUGGGCACUGAUAAUAAAUCAAAUGAGUGACAUGCUUUAAAGUGGGCCUAGAAAACCCACGCUACUGAUUCA